UACGUAGGGUGCAAGCGUUGUCCGGAAUUAUUGGGCGUAAAGAGCUUGUAGGCGGUUUGUCGCGUCUGCUGUGAAAUUUCGGGGCUCAACCCCGAACUUGCAGUGGGUACGGGCAGACUAGAGUGUGUAGGGGAGACUGGAAUUCCUGGUGUAGCGGUGAAAUGCGCAGAUAUCAGGAGGAACACCGAUGGCGAAGGCAGGUCUCUGGGCCACUACUGACGCUGAGAAGCGAAAGCAUGGGGAGCGAACAGG
rnacentral:rRNA from 1 species